AUUAAAAAAAUUAUUAAUUUUAUUUUUAUGUUUUUAUUUAAGUAAGUAUAUAAAAUUAAGUAUUAUUAAGAAAAAUAUAAUUUAAUUAUAGUUUAAAGUAUUGUGAAAGAAGUUUGUUAAAUGUAAAAAAGAAAAUUUUAAUUAUUGUACCUUGUGUAUCAGGGUUUAUUAAUUUAAAUAAAUAAUUUUAUUUUCUUGAAUUUUAAAGAGUUAAUUAUAUAUAAAUUUUAUUGUUAAAUAAAUAUUUAAUAUAUUUAAUUAGAAAUGAAACGUUAUUCGUUUUAAAAUUUAUCUAGUUUUUUAAGAAAAAAAUUUAAUUUUAUAGUUAUAUAUAUAUAUAUAUAUAUAUAUAUAUAUAUAUAUAUAUAAUUAAUUAUAUUUUAAGGGAUAAGCUUUAAAAUAAAAUUUUAUAAAUAAUUAAAUAAAAUUUAUUAAAUAGAAUUGGAAAUUUUCAUUUUUUAUAAAUUGUUAUAAUUAAUUUAAUUAAAUUAUUAUUUUUUUUAUUUUAAUUUUUUUAUUAAAAUAUUAAUUUAAAUAUUAAAAAUUAAUUAAUAAUGGUAGAAUUAGUAUAAUAAAAUUUGUAUAUUUAAAAUUAAAGUUUAGGUAAUUUAAAGGAAUUCGGCAAAAAAUUUUUCACCUGUUUAAUAAAAACAUGGUUUUUUGAAUUUAAUUUAAGAUCGAGCCUGCCCAAUGAAUUUUAAAUGGCUGCAGUAUUUUGACUGUACAAAGGUAGCAUAAUCAUUAGUUUUUUAAUUGAAAACUGGAAUGAAUGGUUUAAUGAGAAAAUAACUGUCUCUAAAUUAAUAAAUUAGAAUUUUAUUUUUAAUUUAAAAAGAUUAAAUAAAUUAUAAAGACGAGAAGACCCUAUAGAGUUUUAUAUUUUUUAUUUAAAUAUUUUUUUAGAUUAUAAUAAUUUUUAGAUAAAGAAUAUUUUGUUGGGGUGACAUGAAAAUUUAAAUAACUUUUUAUUAUUUAAUCAUUAAUAAAUGAAUAAUUGAUCAAGAUUUAAGAUUAAAAGAAAUAAUUACCUUAGGGAUAACAGCGUAAUUUAUUUAGAGAGUUCUAAUCGAUAAAUAAGAUUGCGACCUCGAUGUUGGAUUAAAAUAAAAAUUUGGUGUAGAAGCUAAACUUUUAAGUCUGUUCGACUUUUAAAAUUUUACAUGAUCUGAGUUUAAACCGGCGUAAGCCAGGUUGGUUUCUAUCUUAUAGAAGAUAAAAUAUUUUAGUACGAAAGGACCAAAUAUUUAAAUUAAAUUUUUAAUUUUGAAUUAAAGU
rnacentral:rRNA from 1 species